rnacentral:rRNA from 1 species
CGGGGGGGGCAAGCGUUGUUCGGAAUUACUGGGCGUAAAGGGCUCGUAGGUGGCCAACUAAGUCAGACGUGAAAUCCCUCGGCUUAACCGGGGGAACUGCGUCUGAUACUGGAUGGCUUGAGUUUGGGAGAGGGACGCGGAGUUCCAGGUGUAGCGGUGAGAUGCGUGGAUAUCUGGAGGAACACCGGUGGCGAAGGCGGCGUCCUGGACCAACACUGACACUGAUGAGCGAAAGCCAGGGGAGCAAACGGGAUUAGAUACCCCGGUAGUCCUGGCCCUAAACGAUGAAUGCUUGGUGUGGCGGGUAUCGAUCCCUGCCGUGCCGAAGCUAACGCAUUAAGCAUUCCGCCUGGGGAGUACGGUCGCAAGGCUG